AAGAUCUGUCCAGAGUCAGAGGGGAAGAGAGAGUGAGUCAGCGGGAGAGUGACAGAGAGAGGCGGCCAUGGCGGGGGGGAAAUUAGCCGCGUACCUCAACCUUGUCCUCUCCGGCGACCACCCAACGGCAGAAGAUCCGGCCUCCGCACCACCUUCCCUCCGACCCACCACGAUCCCCUCCUCGCGUGACCCCUUUCCCCUCCUCCCGUCAGCCCCCUUUCCUCUCCAGCGUAAGCUCGGGCUCGAACUCCAGAUCCGCGAGCUGCGGAGCAGGCCACCUUGGCGGACAGGCUCCAAUAAGGCCACCACUUGUUGCUACGUGCAUCAGGCCAUCAGAUCAGCAAGUCUGCUUUGGAGAAAAGAAGAGAGAUGAGCAACUGGGAAAACAAUCUGUACUUCAUGUAGUCAUGUACAACUCAUUUGCUGCUGAUUUAAUUUGCUAUCAUUCGCCAUAAGGUUAUGUCUAUGAUGUCGCCAUGCCAUACGCCAUAAGCGUUAUAAUGUUAUGAAUGUUAGCCAUGCUAAGCUUACGUCAUAGGCUAGUGUAGUUUUCUGCUUUUAAUAAACGUUGCAUGGCUGCUGAUGUGACACCUCCAUGCAGCAUGCACGUAGUAGAUGGAGACGUGCCGUACGCACGAUCUCCCUUCCGUUCCUUUUCUGUUUUGUUAACCUGGUCAGCGUGGCGCGCUGUGUAUCUGGAGGUCGUGGGAUGGCAAGGCCAAUCCAGAUCACAGCGAGCUGGCCGGGGUAGUUAGCUGUUUCGGUUUUGUAACAGAUAAGAGAUUAAGGAAAGAGCAGAAAACGCUGCGCAAUUGUGGCAGCACAAAAA